UGAGUAACACGUAUCCAACCUGCCGUCUACUCUUGGCCAGCCUUCUGAAAGGAAGAUUAAUCCAGGAUGGCAUCAUGAGUUCACAUGUCCGCAUGAUUAAAGGUAUUUUCCGGUAGACGAUGGGGAUGCGUUCCAUUAGAUAGUAGGCGGGGUAACGGCCCACCUAGUCUUCGAUGGAUAGGGGUCCUGAGAGGAAGGUCCCCCACAUUGGAACUGAGACACGGUCCAA
rnacentral:rRNA from 1 species